UGGGGAAUUUUGGACAAUGGGCGAAAGCCUGAUCCAGCAAUGCCGCGUGAGUGAAGAAGGCCUUCGGGUUGUAAAGCUCUUUUGUCAGGGAAGAAAAGGCUCUGGUUAAUACCUGGGGUUCAUGACGGUACCUGAAGAAUAAGCACCGGCUAACUACGUGCCAGCAGCCGCGGUAAUACGUAGGGUGCGAGCGUUAAUCGGAAUUACUGGGCGUAAAGGGUGCGCAGGCGGUUGUGCAAGACAGAUGUGAAAUCCCCGGGCUUAACCUGGGAAUGGCAUUUGUGACUGCACGGCUAGAGUGUGUCAGAGGGGGGUAGAAUUCCACGUGUAGCAGUGAAAUGCGUAGAUAUGUGGAGGAAUACCGAUGGCGAAGGCAGCCCCCUGGGAUAACACUGACGCUCAUGCACGAAAGCGUGGGGAGCAAACA
rnacentral:rRNA from 1 species